rnacentral:lncRNA from 1 species
CCCUGGAUACCAGAGCUGAGCAAGCCCCCCGAUCCACUUUUCUUGGAAGCCCUGGGGCUUACCGCCUGAACUUGAUUUUAUCAGUAUUACGCUCGCAAAGCUGUUUUAUUGACCGACAACGUGGAAUGCAAUAAAUGUUCGAGACAUCUGCACCCAGCAAUCGUUUCCUCUGUAGGCAGGUUGCCAGGAAGGCCACGACCCGCUCAAGCUCCUCUUGUGACGAGGACGCCACCUGAAACAGUCGGGCUGCAGUCGCCGCUGUCCUCCGGCUCCCACUCUGCUGGGGUCUCCCUGCUGACCCGGCUUCCCCAGCGCCUCUGGUUCUUCCCAGCCCGAUCUCUCUCCACUGUCAUCCUCAGUGCCAGCCUGUCUCCCACGCCAGCUCGUAAACUCCAGGGUGGCGACUUUGUCUCAUUUUCUUUUGUGUUCUGAGCACCUGACCUGGGCAGCCCUGGAGGCAGCUGUGUGAGGGACACCUUCCGUCAUGGGAUGAUGCUGCCGGAGGGCUCUCACCGGAUACGGCCCCUCGACUUUGGACUUCCCAACCUCCAGAACGGC